rnacentral:tRNA from 1 species
GACAGUUUGGCCGAGUGGUUAAGGCGACAGACUCGAACCGACCAAUCAGCGUCGAGAUUGACAUCUGUUGGGUUCGCCCGCGCAGGUUCAAAUCCUGCAGCUGUCG